ACAUGAUCAAAUCGGAACACGAAAUAUUGAGAUUUGCAGAUAAAGUAAAAGAACCAUUUUGUCCGAAGUCACAUUGUAAAGAACAAUUCACGGCGAUAAAACAGAUGUAAUCGUAGGACAGAGGAUGUGGAUCCGAAAUCACGGAGCAGGAAGACGUAUUACGAGUCAAAUGUCUACAAUGUUCAGAGAUUCCAGUACUUAGUAAUCGUCCCAUCUGAUUCACAGAUGGAUAAGACUCAUCACAAUCCUGACGAUUGAUCUUAUAUAUAACAUUUUCUUUGAAUUUGAUAAAGGUCUUUAUGUAUCUUGAUGACAUCACGAAGUUUGUUAAUAUUACAAAAAGCCAGUCUGUAUUCCGAGUUCUUAAAGAUGUUAAUUUUAACUAAAUUUAUUGGAAAUAUUGGAGAUGUAUGGAAUGGUAAGCCAUGACAGUUUGUUUUCCCGUGUGCUAACACUAUUAUCAUGAGUCGACUCAUCUCUUCGCUUAUAUAUUAAAUUUUUUAAUCGUUUGUUAAUGUUGUCAAAAAUAAAAUCCGGGCAGUCAUUAUCAAGUAACAUUGACAAUAAAUUGGAGAUUUUUUGUGAUAUUCUGGAUGCAACAGUAAAAAUGCCUUGUCUACUAAAUUCAUAAUUAUGCCUCUUUUCUGGGAGAUGAAGUGCUGCAAGUUCAAACAACGACCUGAGAAAGUUGGUUUGUGGUACCAAUCAAACACAAUUAAGCUAUUUUUUACAAACAGCGAGACAUUUAAGAAAUUUAGGAUGAGGUCCAAUCGGAUAUAUUGCCGAUUGAUCAAUUAAAUGAAAAAAUUUUUGAUAGGUAGCUCACUAGAAAAUUCCUAGGCAUCGGCUGAUGUGAGCGGUGUGUCCGAUUGAAAAUGUGCGCAUCUGGGACGCUCCCGAAAUUUAUAUGGUUUCCUCCUAUUUCUAAUGUAAAUUGUAGCCUCUGGUGGAAGGCAAUAAAAUAUCAUUUGCUA